UACGAAGGGGGCUAGCGUUGCUCGGAAUUACUGGGCGUAAAGCGCACGUAGGCGGUCUUUUUAAGUCGGGGGUGAAAUCCUGGAGCUCAACUCCAGAACUGCCUUCGAUACUGGAAGACUUGAGUCCGGGAGAGGUGAGUGGAACUGCGAGUGUAGAGGUGAAAUUCGUAGAUAUUCGCAAGAACACCAGUGGCGAAGGCGGCUCACUGGCCCGGUACUGACGCUGAGGUGCGAAAGCGUGGGGAGCAAACAGG
rnacentral:rRNA from 1 species